GGAGGAAUGGCAGAGUGGUCGAUUGCGGCAGUCUUGAAAACUGUUGACUGUUACAGGUCCGGGGGUUCGAAUCCCUCUUCCUCCGCAA
rnacentral:tRNA from 1 species